AGGGUGAAAUGAAUUGAUGUCAGGCCUUGUAGGUGUGAUUUCUAAUCCCUUCCUCUUUUUCUCUCCUGAUUUCUGAUGCCUUUUCCUCCUCCUCCUGUUUAAAAUAGAACUGUUUUCAGAGUGAAAAUCUGGUGUUUUUCAGCUACAAUACCACAAUUGGAGUAUGAGUACUGAAUCAAAGACAUCUUUUCUCAUAAACAGUCUAAGAAGGUUUCCAGGUAUACAAUGAAAACCCUCAUACAUCAUUCAGUUUGGAAGGAUUCAAGUAAAAGGAAAUAUCUCAUCUUCAGUCCUCUGGGGUGGCUUUUGUUCUCUGAAAGGUGAAAUGUCAGCUUUGGAAUCACCUCUCACCAACAAAAAGCCACCCGAAGAAUCAAAUGGACCAUCUGGUCAGAGUAAUGUACUAACAGGCUCAAGGGAAUGGUUUACCAAAGCCUGCUGAGCCAGAAACAGCUAAGAGCUCCUCCAAAUACAUAUGCGUGCACCCUGACAACAAAUGACUACAAAACUUAGCCAGCUGGCCACUGUGAACAGCUGCAGGUAUAGCACUGAAUGGAAACUGAGUCAUUUUUUCACUAUGUAUAUCAGCAGAACAGCAGAAGAAUAUUGCAAAAAUAGAGAAUCUCCAGCAAUAAGAAAAAUGAAUAGCAUUUAAGAUGUUCUUUUUAAAGGAAGAAACAAAAAGAUAGAAGAGAAAAAAUAGGUUUUGAAGAUAAACACACAGAGAGGGAUUUUGCUACUCUGGGACAGCU
rnacentral:lncRNA from 1 species